UUAAUAAAAACCAAGUUUCGAGGUUUUUCAUUGUUAAUGAAAAUAUUGAAUUUAAAUUUCUUAUUAAU
rnacentral:tRNA from 1 species